AAAAAAUAGUAACCUAUCUUGUGAGUUAUAUUAUUUAGCCCAAAUAUUUCACCACUGUGUCUUUUCACUGGAAGAUUUCAAAGGAAUUGAAAACAACUUUGCUUAUUUCAAAGAUGGUGCACAAAGAUCUUAUUCAAAGAUGGUGACAGAACCUCUAAUAGUAAAGGAUAAAGGAUUGUGUGUGUGUGUGCACGUGUGUGUGUGCUUGUGUGUACAGGCAUGCAUAUAUAUUUUGGGUAGGUAAUCAGUUUAUAGUUAAACAUAAAAAAUAAAAUAUGGUGUUUUGUAGUUGAUAUCAUUGAGAAGGUACUUAAGUAAUCUCCUGUUAGUAAACUGUAGCAGUUAUUAGUUAUUAAAUAGUAAUAGUAAUAAAUACUAAGAAAGGGUUACAUUUAUUGAGCACGUAUUGUGUGUUAGGCUGUCAUUUAAGGAUUCCACAUGGGUUAACUAAUGUAAUUAUCUGAACUGCUGUUUGAAGUAGGUACAGAGUUACUUUGUCCAUUUUACAGAUGAGAAAACUGAGGUACAAAGAGCUUAAGGACUUGCCCAAGGAGUCCAGUUCUGGGAAUAGCCCCAUCUAGGCCACGUGGUUCCAUGGCAAAGGGCAGGAACACAAAAGUCUGAACUGAACAACAUAGGUACGUUUAAGGUUUCUGCUCCGUUGUGGUGUACGUUAUGUCCACUCAUGUCCCAUUGGCCAAAGCGAGUCAUGUGGCCAAACCGGACAAUGGGACAGAGAAUAGUCUCCAUCUACCUUGAGGUGCUGGCAGUCACAUGGCAAAGGACAUGGGUGAAUAAACCUCUCGUUGGGAAGGACACAGUUAGUUGGGAACCAUAAUACAAUAUACUGCCAUCUGAGUGUUCCUAGAACUCCAUUUUCAUUCAAGAGAAAGCUGAAGCCUGGAGAUGUUACGUACAUACAGAAUUACAUACUUAUGUGAUUUGAACUAGUUUUUCUGAUUCCACGUACAUGCUCUUUCCUCAUCUGGUUUCCAAAUUCAUCUCUUUCUGCUCUGAAACGUAUACUCUGUACUUGAGUUUUAUGUAAUUUGCCAAAGCAGUGUGUAGAUUCAUGUGUCUCUGACUUAGGACAUGAUGUUAUAUCUGCUGUUGCAUUUUCCUCUUUCUAUGCUGGUAAACACUCAUUUUCUUCUAAAAAUUCAGGACAUCCAAAAGCAUUACUUGUUUCUCCUCGACUGGGUUGGGAGCCCUCCCUCACUGCUCCGUGGUGUUUUCUCUUCCCCAUAAUGCUUAUCUCUCUACAUUUUACUUGUGGGUGGACUUCUCCCUUCCCCGAACUAUAAAGAGAGUUUCUGGAGGGCAUUGUGAGAGGGGCGGCUUUUUACCUGUGGGUCCCUACGGUGGUACAGAGCAGGUGCUGUGCAGGAGCAUUGAGAUAAUGGAUAAGUGAAGUUUUCCUACCUAAGAAUGACACUUGUCAUUGUAGGGUCAGUAAUCUUGCAUUUCAUGUACGUGUCAAGUCAGCUGGAUUUAAAUCAUUCCAGAACAAAGGGCCUGGGAAAUCAGUCCACUAUCAUGACUCACAUGUGUUCUGUCUGCAGAUUGUUCUUUCUUAUAAAACUCAGCAAUUUUUAUACAACGUGUUUCCAAAGUGAUUUUUAUCCCUCCAUUUUCUGGUAUAAAAUAGGCUCCAAUUAUUCUCUUUAAUUAAGUGGUUUUAUUUUAUUAAUUGUUUCUAACUUACAGAAUUCCCUAGAGACCCUUUACACGUUUCCAAAUGAAGCCAGGAAGAAAAGCGCAUUAAUUAUACACACAACGUCCUUUUGGCGGAUUAAACCUGAUGCGCAGUGAACAUGAAGUGGCUCGCCCUCCUGAGCCAUCAGUCUUGUUGUCAGUGAUGGCUUGUAUGAGUAGUAUUGACAUGGG
rnacentral:lncRNA from 1 species